rnacentral:rRNA from 1 species
CGGUGGUUUGGGAUGAUAUAAGCCAUGCUAGUCUUUGUAGUAAUACAAGGCAGACGGCUCAGUAACGCGUCCUCUCAUAAUCUAUGGACGGGAAUAACCUCGGGAAACUGACCCUUUUGACCGAUAGAACACUAUGCCUGGAAUGGUUUGUGUUCCAAAUGAUUUAUCGCCGUAGGAUGGGACUGCUGCCUAUCAUUUUGUUGGUGAGGUAAUGGCCCACCAAGACUAUUACAGGUACGGGCUCUGAUAGGAGUGGCCCGGAGAUGGGUACUGAGACACGGACCCAGGCCCUAUGGGGCGCAGCAGGCGAGAAAACUUUGCAAUGUGCGAAAGCACGACAAGGUUAAUCCGAGUGGUUUCUGCUAAAGGAACCUUUUGUCUGUCCUAGAAACACCGAUGAAUAAGGGGUGGCUAGUUCUGGUGGCAGCCGGCCCGCUCAAACACAUCCCGCAGGUCGGGUGGAAGAUUAUUGGUUGUGAACUAUGCGUACCCAGAUCUGUCAGAUUUUUGUUAAAUCUAUACGCUUCACGUACUGGGU